CGCGGAGUAGAGCAGUGGUAGCUCGUCAGGCCCAUAACCUGGAGGUCGUAGUGUUCAAAUCCUACCUCCGCAACCA
rnacentral:tRNA from 1 species